AUUGAACGCUGGCGGCAUGCCUUACACAUGCAAGUCGAACGGCAGCACGGGUGCUUGCACCUGGUGGCGAGUGGCGAACGGGUGAGUAAUACAUCGGAACGUACCUUAUCGUGGGGGAUAACGCAGCGAAAGCUGUGCUAAUACCGCAUACGCUCUGAGGGGGAAAGCGGGGGAUCGCAAGACCUCGCGCGAUUAGAGCGGCCGAUGCCUGAUUAGCUUGUUGGUGGGGUAAAAGCCCACCAAGGCGACGAUCAGUAGCUGGUCUGAGAGGACGAUCAGCCACACUGGGACUGAGACACGGCCCAGACUCCUACGGGAGGCAGCAGUGGGGAAUGUUGGACAAUGGGGGCAACCCUGAUCCAGCAAUGCCGCGUGAGUGAAGAAGGCCUUCGGGUUGUAAAGCUCUUUUGUCAGGGAAGAAACACCGGCUCUAACACAGUCCGGGAAUGACGGUACCUGAAGAAUAAGCACCGGCUAACUACGUGCCAGCCGCCGCCGUAA
rnacentral:rRNA from 1 species